rnacentral:lncRNA from 1 species
CUUAAAUAUUUUCAUGUAACAAUAAAAUUAACAUCUCAAGUUUAGCACAUAUAUUACUAAUAUAUGUGCGACCAGGGACAUAUAAUACAAUGAUAACUGAGAGUUUUAUGCUCAUUUCCAUGCAACUGAAAUAGUACAGUUCAACUAUGCAAAUUUCGGUAUCUGUACAGCUAAGGAUAUAUGUAUCAGUGAUGCUAACUUGUAAUAAUUUGCAUAAAGUCGGAAAGGGAGAAAGGCAAGGUUCUUCCAUGUUCAUAGUGUGUCCCAUUUUCUGCAAAUAUCUCAAUUGUUUGUGUAAUCAGUUGCGCUGUGCCUCCCACUGGUGAUAGAAAACAAUCAGCAUGACAAUCAAAUUCAAGCGUACAUAGGAUGAUCCUUUUCAUCUUUAGUGUGGAUUAAAUGGCAACAUAUAUCUCCUCCAUAAUGGUACCAACAGCUGUCCAUGCCGAGAUUACUUUUCUUUUAAAUCCUUUUGUUAACUUACUACA